UACGUAGGGUGCGAGCGUUGUCCGGAAUUAUUGGGCGUAAAGGGCUCGUAGGCGGUUUGUCGCGUCGGGAGUGAAAACCCAGGGCUCAACCCUGGGCCUGCUUCCGAUACGGGCAGACUAGAGGUAUGCAGGGGAGAAUGGAAUUCCUGGUGUAGCGGUGAAAUGCGCAGAUAUCAGGAGGAACACCGGUGGCGAAGGCGGUUCUCUGGGCAUUACCUGACGCUGAGGAACGAAAGUGUGGGGAGCGAACAGG
rnacentral:rRNA from 1 species